CACAGCUGUCACUUUUCUUUGUCACCUGAACUUGAGGAAUUCUGAGUGAGCCUUGUCCUAUCCCUCACUUCACAUCAUCUUGGGGAAACGACUCUCUUCACGCUUUGAAAGAAGAAUUUAGGUGUCUAAGCCUCAGCCCUACAGGAGACUGAGUUGCUGAAAUUUUUACCCACAGACAGUGCAAUGUCUGAUAUGAAGCCUGACAGAUCUUGUCCCAAUCUCCUUAAUCUCCAAACAUGAUUGCUCUGCCUGACACUUGGAUGAUCUGAUUAAUUUACUUCCAGACUCCCCAGCAUGGUGUUAAGUAGGAGUUGGGAGUCCACAUGUUCACUGGGCUGUUUCUAUGACCUCAGAGGGCGAGUGGCCUCUUACAGAGACAGCUGUGCUCUCCACGUUUGUGUGGGGGUCCCUGUGUCAGACACCAAAUCAGAAGACCAAUCUCCUCCUGUGGCACUGAUAACAUCAAGAACUGGCAGAAAGAAAGUAACUUCAGAGCAGGGCUGAUCAAACAUGCUUUCUCUAUGCAAGGAGAACACCAGAGAGGAUGACUGUUGCAAGGCAAAAGGCAGGAUGGGAGCCAUGGAGUCUUACCCGCUCUUCCUUGUUGGAUGUCAAAUCUGCUUGCACCUUCCAGAAUGAAGUGAGGGGGGCCGAAGGAUAAAUCCUUACAAAAGACAACGAAAAGCUAUAACUAUGGUGCUCAUCCCUCAUCAAAGAAACUUCUCUUUGCAAUGGGUGGAGAUCAUUGAAGAAAACCGCAACUCAUCAACUCAUCAAAAUGCAGAACAGGAGAGAUCGAGUGGUGCCCAGGUCCAAGGGAUAUAUCUGUAAUA
rnacentral:sRNA from 1 species